rnacentral:misc_RNA from 1 species
GUAGGUGAACCUGCGGAAGGAUCAUUACAACGUAUCCACGUACCAAACUCGUGCACUGUUUCCCUCUAGAGUAAACAACUCGUGGUUGAGGUCAAUGGUCGAUCGGUUUCCACUGAUGGAGUUCUCUCUCAGAGAACUGGAAAGCUUUCGUCCGCCGAAUGCGCUAGUCUCCGGACCGGUGCAGGAGGGACUUCGUUUGCUCUACUGCGGUUUUGCGACCGUCAGCGCUAGUUUUACCAUUAUUAACCCUUUGCAAAUUUUGAACUGAACUUGGAAGCUUAGCCAAUGUCCUUGCUGGCCUAUGGUCACGGAUUGCGGCUGUGUUUUCCUUGAGUAUUUAACAAAGAACAACUCUUAGCAACGGAUAUCUUGGUUCUC